CCUACGGGUGGCAGCAGUGGGGAAUAUUGCACAAUGGGGGAAACCCUGAUGCAGCGACGCCGCGUGAGUGAAGAAGUAUUUCGGUAUGUAAAGCUCUGUCAGCAGGGAAGAAAAUGACGGUACCUGACCAAGAAGCACCGGCUAACUACGUGCCAGCAACCGAGGUAAUACGUAGGGGGCAAGCGUUAUCCGGUUUUACUGGGUGUAGAGGGAGCGUAGACGGCAGGGCAAGUCUGGAGUGAAAGGCGGGGGCUCAACCCCCGGACUGCGCUGGAAACUGCCAGGCUGGAGUGCAGGAGAGGUAAGUGGAAUUCCUAGUGUAGCGGUGAAAUGCGUAGAUAUAAGGAGGAACACCAGUGGCGAAGGCGGCUUACUGGACUGUAACUGACGUUGAGGCUCGAAAGCGUGGGGAGCAAACAGGAUUAGAUACCCUGGUAGUC
rnacentral:rRNA from 1 species